AUACUCAGUGCAGAGUUCAUUGAGUUCCUCUAUAACCCUGAUACGGUCAUAUUUAAAGGUAAAAUAUGUCACCUCAUUGUUGGAUAUGGGACAGUGUAUUUGUAAUUUUGGGUAAUAUCACUUUAACAACUCAUAGGAAGGGCAGGGCCAGUGGUAGGGAUUUGUAAAAAGCAGGUGCACCUGGGGCUGUUUUGGGCUAAACUUCUGGAGACAAGUGCUGAGAUGUGGAACAUGUAACACCAACUCUGUACCAAUAUAGGAUUUUGUUAAAGACCGGAAAUGGAAAGCCAGACUGGAUCUAGGAAGCAUUUUGUUGGGCAGAACCUGGAUAAGAAAAAGUUAAUGUCUCUGAGUGUUUGCAAUCUAACAGAAAGCCCCGAGAAUAAAAGCAUCAAGCUACCCCAGGACAUCCUUUAGAAGGCUUGUUUUGACUGGUUUAUAAAAGAGCGAUACUUGGUCGGAGUAGACCAUUUUGGUCAAGUGAGACACUCUUCCAAUAUGACGGCUCUACAUGCUGGCUUAACAAAGAAAAACCUAUCGGGUAAUGACAAAAUGUCAUCUUUAUUCAUUCUCCUGCCAUCUAUUAGAUUUUGUAUGGAUUGGAACAGUCGGAUAAUCUAGAUGUAGCUGAUCUGUGACUUGGGGAGCUCAUACAUUAAUUUAAUACUGAAGAUCAAUAAAUGCAGCUUGCAUGAGAUGAAGCUAAUUGAGGCCGGAUGAAUUAAUUCCAAUAUCCUACAACAAAAACCUUCUGGAAUAGUAGUGUGGCUCUGCAGAAAUCCCUCAUAACUGGUAGUGUACAAUCUUUCUGUGUCACAAAUUCUAAUCAGACUUGUGUCUUCUAGUUUUGACGCUGAGUCAUUUCCAUACCUGAUCCAUCUUCUGGUUUAAUUACUUCCUUUCAUAAUAUCAUUUCCCUCACUUAAGGUUAUAAGUUUUGGGUUGAAAAGUGAACUAGAAUUUCCAUGCUGCUGAUAUUUAAAGUUGAAAACGAAAAAUGGGAUAAAUGACAUGGCCUUCCAACCUUGUUGAGGGAUCUCUGUUAAGUUUGUAGUUGAUGCCUUUCAAAGAACCAACGUAGAGGUAUUUUCUGGCCUUAAAGGAAAUUGCCCAACUAUCCCAUAGCCCUAAGGCUUGCUCUAGAAUUAAGAGGUCCCAUUUACAUAUGUCUUGGAUGCAAGUGCUAGACCUAAAUAUAGUCCUGAGCCAGGCCCGGAUUGUGGAAAGGCCACUUAGGCCCGGGCCUAGGG